rnacentral:piRNA from 1 species
UGAUGUGGAACACGUGCUCAUCGAUGU